GAUUCCUGCCAGUGAUGCAUUUUUCUUUAGAUGUUCCUGAACUAAAAUUCAUUCUGGUUAACAGGGGGAAAAACAAACAAACAAAAAACAAACACAUACAGAAAAACUGGACCUAAUCACUUCUUUAUGGAUACAGGCUGAAAGAAAUGAAAUCUAAGGAAUGGAACCUACUAGCAUUGAAUGUUCCUAAAUUUGAUAUCUGAACCAGUCAGGAUCUACCUACUGGCACAUAUAUGGGUAAGGUUAACUCUAUUUAUCUUCACCUGGGUCAACUGGAUUCCUGCACUUGAUGUCUACCUAAGUCCUCCUGGAUAUGUGAGUUACAGAGUGCUGAUUUUUUAGGUAGUUCUUGUAUAGAAGAAAUCAAGUACUACAAUUUCUCAUUGAAUUUACUUAUA